rnacentral:miRNA from 1 species
UCUCCGCCUCCUUCCCCACCCGCCUGCUGGGCGGGGCGGCGGCGGCAGCGGUGCUCCUGCCCCUCCGCCACCUCCCCCGCAGCCUCUUCCCGAGCUGGCGGCGUUGGCGGGGAGGG